UCUUGCUACUUCUAUCUUGCCACCCAGCCUUGCCUCGGUCCUGCCCCUGCCUUGAACCCCUCCUUGCAUGCUUCCCUGCUCUCUCCCCCUUGGCUCUGCCUUCCAAGUUCUGACUCCAUCUCUGACCCUAGUUCUUGGUUCCAGAUGCCUGCACUGACCACUAGGCUAGAGCACCUUCCUUCCGCUUCUCUGACACAAGGGAAGGUAUUUGAGAUCCAUGGGUCAGAGUUCAAGCUAUGUCAUUGGUCACCUCUGUUACAUGGUAUUGCUGCUCUUCCCUCAGUACAUGACCUACAAUUUAUAAAGAGGGAGGCCUGGAUGACUCAGUGUGACUUCAAUUCCCGAAAGGGGAAGACAGAGAGACUGUCCAGUUCCACAAACAGUUAGCACAGUCUCAUGCUCCAGGCUCAGGUUGGACACUGCCCUCUGAACAGGGGCCCGUGCUACCACUACUUGAACAUUUUGAUGGGCACCGCCGAACGUUCAGAGGGUUCCUGAACCAAUGCCAUCUCUUUUUCCUGCUCCACCCUUGAAUUUGUCCCACUGCCCAGGCCAGGGUGGGACUAGAGAUCAGUUUGCUAGCUGGAGAAGGAUUGGAUUGGCCUCCCCCAUGCUGAAGCAGGACCAUCCAGUGCCA